GUAAGUAGACACCUUUUGUAUUUAGCAAGACUCUAACAUUCACGUACUUUAGAAAACAUACAAUUAUUGAUCAUGAGGGCUUUUUAAAAGUUAUAUUGAGGCCAAGGCAAAGGUAGGAAUUUUUUUUUUUUUUUUGGAAUUUUUGGUUUUUGAAAUUGAUAUAGAAAGAGCAAUGGCAUUUGAUUUCAAAAACAACUUUAUAUAUUUUUUUCUUUUUAGGAAGAUUUUUUUCCCUUUUUUUUCAUCAUUUUUUUUUUCAAAACUUCAACUUCUCAUCUUCCUUUUUGCCUUCCUUUUUUUUUUUAUUUUGUGGUGAGACACUCACCAACACACUUA
rnacentral:lncRNA from 1 species